rnacentral:lncRNA from 1 species
AGAGACUCUCAUGUUGGAAAAGUUACUAACAUCAACUCCGUUGAGGGGAAUAUGUAAGAUUUGGGGGGUGCCAAAUUUAAGAAGCAAGAGGGAAUGCCUAACUGAGAAGCUAGGGCAGGAGCUGAGGGGGGGCACUUGAGAAUAACCCACUCAUACUGGGCAUCCUUACAUCUUGAUCAUAACAUUUCUGUAACACUCUAAGUAAGGUCUGUGAAGCUCUUCACAUAAAUUACGUCAUUUGAUCCUUAUACAACCCCCUUAGACCUGAAAAGUUAAAUGAUUCUGCCUGUUUUACACAUGAGACAAAAUAAGGCUCAAAGGAAAGUUGAAUGGCUUGCUCAGGGUCAUAGAAGUAUCGGAGAAAGGGUUGGGGGUGAGGAAUGUGGCACAUCACUGCUUUAGCUGCCAUGUAAAUGGAACUCCGGUGUAUGGAGGUGCUUUCUAACUAGAUCAUAAUUUCAGGAUCUGGGGAGUGGAGCACAAGCUCAGACAGGUUUUCAAGACAGACCCAGUGAUGAAAUAUCUUAUCAGAGCCCCAACUAUGUUGGGAGUUGGCUCUGUAAUGUGAAUUGUUCAUCUACUGUCACUCUCUUAGACUUUCUAUGAAGUCAUAAAGGCAUUACAAUCUUCCUGAUGGAGGGUACCCCCCCAACAAAAUUCCUGCUUCUGGAAGGUGUCUCAGAUGAGGAAAAUGAGGCCCAAAGAGAGUGUCAGAGUUGCCUAGCCAUGAUCUCAGUCCUAAAUGAAUUAAGACUCAAACUCAUGUUUCCUGACAUCUUAGUAGUUUCUAUUCUGUAGGCCAUGUUACCUCUCAUAAUUUUGCCAUCAAACCUACUUUAGCCACAAUUGGCAUGUCCCAACUCCUUUAUCACUCUCCCUUCACCCCAUCUUCCUUCUUCCCCCUGGCCACAAGGGAACACCAGAGGUCUCUGACAUACUCUAGGCAUAUCCACAGUUGUCCUGUAUUAAUCCACACUGGAAAGCAGGAGAGAAAGGAGAUCAAGAUGGCCCUCCAUACACCCCGUCCAGGUGUCCAGGUUAGUGGUGGAGUCAUUCAGCCCAGUCGUGUGCUUAAACUUAAAAUAAAGGUUUUAGGAAGGUGGUGGGAAGUAGGGCUUUCUGUCUUGUCUCUAUAUUUAUUCAGAUGCACAGUAUGGAAGACAAAGGAAAUGGGAUAGAUUAUCAAGAAGUUCCCUAAUUUUGUAAAUUGGGAGGAGAUAAUCUCAGUCCCUUUGAAAUUUGCUGGCCCAGAAUCUCAGAUGGUAGCACUCAGGACCAGAUUCCAGGGCAUUGAGAAGUAAGUGAAGGGGUUUAAUGGGGGAA